AAUUUGUCCUUGGUCACAUUACUG
rnacentral:miRNA from 1 species